UACGUAGGGACCGAGCGUUGUCCGGAUUUAUUGGGCGUAAAGAGCGUGUAGGCGGCUUCACAGGUCCGCUGUGAAAACUCGAGGCUCAACCUCGAGCUGUCGGUGGAAACCGUGUGGCUAGAGUCUGGAAGAGGAGAGUGGAAUUCCCGGUGUAGCGGUGAAAUGCGCAGAUAUCUGGAAGAACACCAGUGGCGAAGGCGGCUCUCUGGGACGGUACUGACGCUGAGACGCGAAAGCGUGGGGAGCGAACAGG
rnacentral:rRNA from 1 species